rnacentral:misc_RNA from 1 species
AACGGUCUAUACCUGCGGUACCUGCGGAAGGAUCAUUAUAGAGUGGUAAACCCCCCGUAAAAGGGGGGGACCUCCUGUCCUUUGUAGGCUCUUUUUUAAAAGGGCUUUUUUUAAUUUUCUGCUUCGGUGGGGUUAUCCCACCGGAACAACCUCAAAACUCUUAUCAAAAAAUCGUUCUGUCUGAGAACCUUUUAUAAUAAAAAAAAACUUUUAACAAUGGAUCUCUAGAUCGGAAGAGCA